UAGUUAUAUUCUUUAAACCUAAAGAAUUUGGCGGUGUUUUAGUCUAUUUAGAGGAAUUUGUCCCUUAAUCGAUAGUCCCCGUUUUAUCUUGCUUAUUUUUGUUUAUCAGUAUGUAUAUCGCUGUUAUAAGUUUAUUUUUUUAGAAUUAAUAAUUUACUUAAUUUAUUAUAUUAAUAUAUUUCAAGUCAAGGUGCAGUUUAUAGAUAAGUGGAGAUGAAUUACAAUAUUUUAAAUAUAAUGGAUUUAAAUUUUAACAUUUUAAUGAAAGUGGAUUUAAUAGUAAUUUUAUUAAUAAUAAUAUUUUGAUUUUAGUUCUGAAAUAAGUACACAUCGCCCGGUCGCUCUA
rnacentral:rRNA from 1 species